AUAUAGAAAUGAAUAUUAUAAAAAUUUUUAAGGGGUUCUAGAGCUAUCUCCAACCUCUCUCUGUUUCUACUGCUGAGUGCCUGAGCAUAUAUUUUUUCUUCAUCUGUGGUAACGAACAUCUGACAAUGGUUUCUCCCAUUUUGGAUUAUUAUAGACAGCUUUCAGGGCAAAAGCAAUGAAGUAUCACCCAGAUCAGAAUCCAGAUAAUAAAGAGGCUGCAGAGGCUAAAUUUAAAGAAGUGAUGGUAUCUUAUGAAGCUAUAAAGCUAGAAAGGAAAAUUGGGAAUUGUUGAUCUCAAUGACAUUAAAUGUUGAUAAUGAUCCAUGCUUUGAGGAAAAUGACCAUGUUUGAUAUUUGCCAUAAUAUUGAAAUCAAAAUCUUUUUUUAGCUGUUUUUUUUUUUCUUCCCCUGGAUAAUAAUUUAUUAUAAUAUUUAUUAUGCUGGUUUUCCUAUAUAUCCCUUAUAUUUGUAAAAAUCUGAUGAAUUGUUGCAGUGGUAAUGGGCUUUGUUCUUGA